rnacentral:rRNA from 1 species
UACAGAGGAGCCAAGCGUUGUCCGGAUUGACUGGGCGUAAAGCGCACGCAGGCGGACGCGCGCGUGGGGUGUGAAAUCUGGCCGCUUAACGGCCAGGCGCCAUCCCAUACGGCGCGUCUGGAGUGAUGCAGAGGUCGGUGGAAUUGCCGGUGUAGUGGUGAAAUGCGUAGAGAUCGGCAGGAACACCCAGGGGAAACCAGCCGACUGGGCAUCUACUGACGCUGAGGUGCGAGAGCGUGGGGAGCGAACCGG